rnacentral:rRNA from 1 species
UACGAAGGAGGCUAGCGUUGCUCGGAUUGACUGGGCGUAAAGGGCGCGUAGGCGGUUCGUACAGUCAGACGUGAAAUUCCUGGGCUCAACCUGGGGGCUGCGUUUGAUACGUGCGGGCUUGAGUGCGGAAGAGGGUCGUGGAAUUCCCAGUGUAGAGGUGAAAUUCGUAGAUAUUGGGAAGAACACCGGUGGCGAAGGCGGCGACCUGGUCCGAUACUGACGCUGAGGCGCGAAAGCGUGGGGAGCAAACAGG